rnacentral:rRNA from 1 species
AUGAACGACGAUGAUGAACCUUCAGGUUUAGGUGGCGAACGGGUGAGUAACACGUGAGCAACCUACCCUAAAGACGAGGAUAACCAUUGGAAACAGUGGCUAAGACUGGAUAGGAAGAUAAAAGGCAUCUUGUAUCUUUUAAAAGACCUAGUUAAUAGGUAUGCUUUAGGAGGGGCUUGCGCCAUAUUAGUUAGUUGGUAGGGUAAUGGCCUACCAAGACGAUGAUGUGUAGCUGGACUGAGAGGUUGAACAGCCACAUUGGGACUGAGACACGGCCCAAACUCCUACGGGAGGCAGCAGUAGGGAAUUUUCGGCAAUGGAGGAAACUCUGACCGAGCAACGCCGCGUGAAUGACGAAGUACUUCGGUAUGUAAAGUUCUUUUAUCGAGGAAGAAAAGCAAAUGGCGAACCAUUUGUUUGCCGGUACUUGAUGAAUAAGCCCCGGCUAAUUAUGUGCCAGCAGCCGCGGUAAGACAUAAGGGGCAAGUGUUAUCCGGAAUUAUUGGGCGUAAAGGGUGCGUAGGCGGUCUAGUAAGUCAGUGGUGUAAUGGCAACGCUUAACGUUGUCCGGCUAUUGAAACUGCUAAACUUGAGUUAGAUAGAGGCGAGUGGAAUUCCAUGUGUAGCGGUAAAAUGCGUAAAUAUAUGGAGGAACACCAGAGGCGUAGGCGGCUCGCUGGGUCUUAACUGACGCUGAGGCACGAAAGCGUGGGGAGCAAACAGGAUUAGAUACCCUGGUAGUCCACGCCGUACACGAUGAGUACUAAGUGUCGGGUUAAACCGGUACUGAAGUUAACACAUUAAGUACUCCGCCUGAGUAGUACGUACGCAAGUAUGAAACUUAAAGGAAUUGACGGGACUCCGCACAAGCGGUGGAUCAUGUUGUUUUAUUCUAAGAUACCCGAAAACCUUACCAGGUCUUGACGUGUUUUUGCUAUAUGAUAAUAUUAUCGUGGAGGUUACCAGAAACACAGUGUGCAUGGUUGUCGUCAGCUCGUGUCGUGAGAUGUUAGGUUAAGUCCUAAAACGAGCGAAACCCUUAUCGUUAGUUGCCAGCACGUUAUGGUGGGGACUUUAACGAGACUGCCAAUGAUAAAUUGGAGGAAGGUGAGGAUCACGUCAAAUCAGCAUGCCCCUUAUGACCUGGGCUACAAACGUGAUACAAUGGCUGUUACAAAGGGUAGCUGAAACGCAAGUUCUUGGCCAAUCCCCAAAAACAGUCCCAGUCCGGAUUGAAGUCUGCAACUCGACUUCAUGAAGUUGGAAUCGCUAGUAAUCGCGAAUCAGCAUGUCGCGGUGAAUACGUUCUCGGGGUUUGUACACACCGCCCGUCAAACCACGAAAGUUGGCAAUACCCAAAACGGUAGCCUAACUCGUUUAUUCGAGAGGGCGCCGUCUAAGGUAGGGUCGAUGAUUGGGGUUAAGUCGUAACAAGGUAUCCCUACCGGAAGGUGGGGAUGGAUCACCUCCUUUCUAAGGAAACCAAUAAAAUCAAUCAUCUUCAGUUUUGAAAGACUUAGGCAACUAAGUUUUUCUUCGUGACUUCACGAAGGGCCUAUAGCUCAGUUGGUUAGAGCACACGCCUGAUAAGCGUGAGGUCGGUGGUUCAAGUCCAUUUAGGCCCACCAGAGUUAUAGUUUUCGUAAGAACACAA